rnacentral:rRNA from 1 species
ACUAAGCGUACACGGUGGAUGCCCUGGCAGUCAGAGGCGAUGAAGGACGUGCUAAUCUGCGAUAAGCGUCGGUAAGGUGAUAUGAACCGUUAUAACCGGCGAUUUCCGAAUGGGGAAACCCAGUGUGUUUCGACACACUAUCAUUAACUGAAUCCAUAGGUUAAUGAGGCGAACCGGGGGAACUGAAACAUCUAAGUACCCCGAGGAAAAGAAAUCAACCGAGAUUCCCCCAGUAGCGGCGAGCGAACGGGGAGGAGCCCAGAGCCUGAAUCAGUGUGUGUGUUAGUGGAAGCGUCUGGAAAGGCGCGCGAUACAGGGUGACAGCCCCGUACACAAAAAUGCACAU